rnacentral:lncRNA from 1 species
GGGACAGACGGCAUCGGCAGCAAGGGAGACAGAAUUGUGGAAGACUCCUCCGUAGGUUUCUCUCUUACAUAACAAAAAGAAAUGACAGGAAGCCCAGAGAACUGGAACAAGGAAGAGCGUCUUCUAGAGAGACCUCAGAGACUGAAGAAAAUGCUAUUGUUUGAACACAGUAGCCCAUGGCAGAAGCAGUCUGUUUGUUCUGAACACAACGCCAAGAGAUAGCACAGAAGUUCGCAGCACCUUUCAGUUCAAUGCUACCGUGGAAAAUUUUUAUGAAGCUGCUGCAAUCAAGUGGGGAGCCUUGGAUCAGCCUCUGGGAGCCAAGGGAUGCUUCUUCUGUUUCAUGCACAACCUGCCCACCUCCCCCAUCAGAAGAUACAACUUGGGAGAGAAGCUCACCUCUGUUAGAUGAUCCUUCUCUCGGUGGUAAAAUUAUUUUUUGUAGACAGCACAAGAUGGCUCAGCCAAUAGAGGUGCUUAU